rnacentral:rRNA from 1 species
UACGUAGGGUGCUAGCGUUGUCCGGAUUUAUUGGGCGUAAAGGGUGCGCAGGUGGGUUUGCAAGUUCGAUGUGAAAGCCCCGGGCUUAACUCGGGAAUGGCAUUGGAUACUGCAGAUCUGGAGGAUCGGAGGGGGGACUGGAAUUCUUGGUGUAGCAGUGAAAUGCGUAGAUAUCAAGAGGAACACCAGUGGCGAAGGCGAGUCCCUGGACGAUACCUGACACUGAGGCACGAAAGCUAGGGGAGCAAACAGG